rnacentral:rRNA from 1 species
GACGAACGCUGGCGGCGUGCUUAACACAUGCAAGUCGAGCGGUAAGGCCCUUUUGGGGGUACACGAGCGGCGAACGGGUGAGUAACACGUGGGUGACCUGCCCUCAGCUCUGGGAUAAGCCUGGGAAACUGGGUCUAAUACUGGAUAUGACCUUUCCUCGCAUGGGGUUGGGUGGAAAGUUUUUCGGCUGGGGAUGGGCCCGCGGCCUAUCAGCUUGUUGGUGGGGUGAUGGCCUACCAAGGCGACGACGGGUAGCCGGCCUGAGAGGGCGACCGGCCACACUGGGACUGAGACACGGCCCAGACUCCUACGGGAGGCAGCAGUGGGGAAGUAUUGCGCAAUGGGCGGAAGCCUGACGCAGCGACGCCGCGUGGGGAUGACGGCC